rnacentral:misc_RNA from 1 species
GAUGAAGAACGUAGCGAAAUGCGAUAAGUAAUGCGAAUUGCAGAAUUCAGUGAGUCAUCGAAUCUUUGAACGCACAUUGCGCCCUGUGGUAUUCCGCAGGGCAUGCCUGUUCGAGCGUCAUUUCAACCCUCAAGCUCUGCUUGGUGUUGGGCCCUGCCCGCUGCGGCCGGCCCUAAAGACAGUGGCGGUGCCGCCUGGCCCUGAGCGUAGUACAUCUCUCGCUCCAGUGCCCGGUGGUAGCCUGCCAGAACCCAGCUCUCGUGGUUGACCUCGGAUCAGGUAGGGAUACCCGCUGAACUUAAGCAUAUCAAUAAGCGGAGGA